rnacentral:rRNA from 1 species
AACGCGAAGAACCUUACCUGGGCUCGAACGGCUUAGGAACAGCUGUGGAAACACGGCCUUCCCGCAAGGGACCUGAGUCGAGGUGCUGCAUGGCUGUCGUCAGCUCGUGUCGUGAGAUGUUGGGUUAAGUCCCGCAACGAGCGCAACCCUUGUCCUGUGUUGCAACUAAUAGGCACUCUCAGGAGACCGCCAGCGAUAAGUUGGAGGAAGGUGGGGAUGACGUCAAGUCAUCAUGGCCUUUAUGUCCAGGGCUACACACGUGCUACAAUGGGCGGUACAAAGCGCUGCCAACCCGCGAGGGGGAGCUAAUCGCAAAAAACCGUCCUCAGUUCGGAUCGCAGGCUGCAACUCGCCUGCGUGAAGCUGGAAUCGCUAGUAAUGCUAUAUCAGAACGAUAGCGUGAAUACGUUCCCGGGCCUUGUACACACCGAGACGUA